UACGUAGGUGGCAAGCGUUGUCCGGAAUUACUGGGUGUAAAGGGCGUGUAGGCGGGAAGGCAAGUCAGAUGUGAAAUCCCAUGGCUUAACUGUGGAGCUGCAUCUGAAACUGUUUUUCUUGAGUGUCGGAGAGGAAAGUGGAAUUCCCAGUGUAGCGGUGAAAUGCGUAGAGAUUGGGAGGAACACCAGUGGCGAAGGCGGCUUUCUGGACGAUAACUGACGAUGAGGCGCGAGAGCGUGGGGAGCAAACAGG
rnacentral:rRNA from 1 species